UGCCCGGUCGUCUAAUGGUAGGACUCAGCGCUCUGAACGCUGCUAUCAGGGUUCAAAUCCUUGCUGGGCAG
rnacentral:tRNA from 1 species